rnacentral:rRNA from 1 species
UGCCAGCAGCCGCGGUAAUACGUAGGGUGCAAGCGUUAGUCGGAAUUACUGGGCGUAGAGCGCGCGUAGGCGGUUUUGUAAGUCGGAUGUGAAAUCCCUGGGCUUAACUUGGGAACUGCAUUCGAUACUGCAUAACUAGAGUAUGGUAGAGGGAAGUGGAAUUUCCGGUGUAGCGGUGAAAUGCGUAGAUAUCGGAAGGAACACCAGUGGCGAAGGCGACUUCCUGGGCCAAUACUGACGCUGAGGUGCGAAAGCGUGGGGAGCAAACAGGAUUAGAUA